GACGAACGCUGGCGGCGUGCUUAACACAUGCAAGUCGAACGGUAAGGCCCUUCGGGUACGACGAGUGGCGAACGGGUGAGUAACACGUGGGUGAUCUGCCCUGCACUUCGGGAUAAGCCUGGGAAACUGGGUCUAAUACCGGAUAGGACUCCGAAUCGCAUGGUUUGGGGUGGAAAGCUUUUGCGGUGUGGGAUGGGCCCGCGGCCUAUCAGCUUGUUGGUGGGGUGAUGGCCUACCAAGGCGACGACGGGUAGCCGGCCUGAGAGGGUGUCCGGCCACACUGGGACUGAGAUACGGCCCAGACUCCUACGGGAGGCAGCAGUGGGGAAUAUUGCACAAUGGGCGCAAGCCUGAUGCAGCGACGCCGCGUGAGGGAUGACGGCCUCGGUUGUGA
rnacentral:rRNA from 1 species